GUGCAGCAGGCGAGAAACCUUCGCAAUGCGGGAAACCGCGACGAGGGGACUCCCAGUGCCUACGCUCAGCGUAGGCUGUUCCCGAGCCUAGAAAGCUCGGGGAGUAAGGGCUGGGUAAGACGGGUGCCAGCCGCCGCGGUAAUACCCGCAGCCCGAGUGGUGGCCACUAUUAUUGGGCCUAAAGCGUCCGUAGCCGGCCCGGUAAAUGCCUAGGUAAAUCGUGAGGCCUAACCUCACGAAUUCCGGGUAGACUGCCGGGCUAGGGGACCGGAGGAGGGAGAGGGUACUCCAGGGGUAGGGGUGAAAUCCUGUAAUCCCUGGAGGACCACCGGUGGCGAAGGCGCUCUCCUAGGACGGGUCCGACGGUGAGGGACGAAAGCCAGGGGAGCGAGCCGGAUUAGAUACCCGUGUAGU
rnacentral:rRNA from 1 species